rnacentral:antisense_RNA from 1 species
AUAGAGCAACAGCUUCUAUGCAGUCUUAGUGAUCCCCCGAUAUAUCUUGUUCAGCCGGCCAAAGUUGAGAAGAUUAUCGGGGUUUUCGCUU